ACAAAAUGACAAUUAAAACAUUUCACAGAUCUUUUGUUUUGAAAAAUUACGUACAGAGCCUCAAUCAUUACAUUUUAUACGAUUUCCUCAACCAGUUCACAGUCCUAUCCUACAGAGCCAUUUGGGAAUUUAAAAUUUAUCUUUAUUGUCAGAAAUAAGCAAUCAUUCAUUUUUUAGUAAAAUUUUCCAGGCUGGUAUUACCCAUUUAAAGGGCACUUUAAAUCCAGAAUUUUAAAAAUAACCUUCAGUGCUCAAAGACUAAAAAAAACAUUCUAAGCCAAGCAUAAUGGACCUGCAGGGACAAAAUUGCUUACUGAUAAUUUCCAUCAUAUUUGAAAUUAACUUCAAACCAAAGUACAUUCAGCUUCAUCUAAAUGUGGUAGCUCAAAAAUACCUUCACUGCAAAGCACAUUCACCCCAACAGGUAUAGAUUUAGUAACAAAAAUGAUAGAAUUAGAUAGCUAUAACCAUGGUAAAAUUGCAGAUGUUAUUUUUUUGAAAUUGAUGUAUAAUGAGAAAUAAUUCAAUUUUUAUCAUACAUCUGAAAGCUGUAUGAAUGAAUAAUAUUAGCUCUAUAUCUCCCCAUAGAUAAGAAAUUACGAGCAAUAGAGACCGGUCAGUCAUGGAUUUGAUUUUCAGUUCAGUUCACUUAUCUUGAUGUCGCCAGUAACUAGUUACCCAGACUUAGAUCGGGAAGUGAAAUGUGGGUUGUCCUUCUGAAUCUAACAGGAAAUUGAUACAUUAAAGCUAUAUCAGUCACCUAUAAUUCAGUGGUCUUUCGAUGGGGUCACAUUGAACUCUGUGGUAAUAUUAGAGGAUGAUGAUCACAAAUAGAAUCUGAUAUCAGGUGGAGUAAAUGACAAGAAUCAAAUGCCAAAAUUAUCCUAUUCAGGUUACAAAAAAAUUCAGUGACAGAUCUUAUUUGUGUUUAUCUAGCAAAAUCCAAAUUGGGAAAGAAUGACCCAAUGUACCUUUUUGGUGUGGGGUUCAACAUUUGAGCCAGUUAUAUUUCUAGCGAGAGUCCUCAGGUGAGAGGAAGUAAGGUUGAUGGUAAGUGCAUCAAAUGCAGGCUGAUGGCAGUGUACAGUGCUGUUGGACAGGAACUUGACCUUCCACAAAAAUCUAAAAACUUCUUCAAAACUUCCAGUGGUCCUUUUAACAACUAUUACAUAGAACUCAAAACUGAAUGGGGCAUACAUCAGCUCAUGUGAGAUUGUUAACAAGAAAGCAAACGUCACUUGUACCUCUUAAAUCUUUCUCUAAAGGCUUUCAAGACAGUGAAAUAUUUAUCCAGGCCUUUUACAAACUCUAAUUUCCCACCACUGUUUCAAUAAGUCUCCCAGAAUACUCUCCUCUUCCUAGAUACGGGAGAAGAGUUUGCACAUAGAGCUGUACAGCACAAGAACAGGCCCUUUGGCCCACAACGUCUGUCGGAACAUGUCAAUUUAAACUAAUCUCAUAUGCUUACAAAUGGUCUACAUUCCUCCAUCUCCUGUCUAUGUGCCAGUCUUAAUGUUUCCACCAGCUGACAGUGCAUUCUGUGUAAAAUAAAAACAAGACUUACCUUGUAAAUAUCCUUUAAAACUCAUUCCCCACUCAUCUUAAAUCUAUGCAUUGGGAAUAAGGACUCUGACUAUCUACGCCAGACCACCCAUGAUUUUAUAAUGUACUAUCAGGACACCCACUAGCUUCUGAUCCUCCAGAGAAAACAAUCCAAAUUUGUCCAGCUUCCCCUUAUUGUGAAUACUCUCUAAUCCAGGCAGCGUACUGGAGAAUGUCUUCUGCACCCUCUCUAAAGCCUCCACGUUCUUCCUGCAUUGUGGUGAAUAGGAUUGCACAGAACACUCCAAAUGUGGCCUGUCCAACACUUUACACAGCUGUGUCAACUAUUAUACUCAAAACCCUGACUGCUGAAGGCAAGCAGGUCAUUCACCAACUUCAUCGGCCUAUCCACUUGUGUUACCACUUUCAAUGAACUACAGACUCACUGAUCCCACCAAGAUCCUUCUGUGCAUCAACGCCCACAAGAAUCCUGCCAUUUACUGUUUAAUUUCCUCAGACAUUCGACCUCCCAUAUUGUAACACUUCAUACUCGUCCAGAUUAAACUCUUGUCAUUUUUCUUCUUAUUUUUCAACUGAUCUAUAUCCUGCUGUAUCAUUUGACAACAUUCUGCAAUAUUCACAACUUUGCCAACAUUCAUGUAAUCUGCAAACUCACUAAUCAGCCAUUGUUAACCUGCUGUUGGGCCAAGGAUCCUGUUUCCUAAAUUUGCCAUCAUGAUUCUAAAGCAUUCAUUUUCUUUUCAAUAAGAAUGCCAAUCAGCCUAACCCUACUUAAACUUGUACGUGAAAAAGGAACUGAAUCACAUCAUUUGCUUCUAUUAAAGAUAUGAUUAGUAUUUUCCAAAGCUACUCAUCAGUCAAAUAAUCUUUACUGUCUUAUCAGUCUCAAAGUUCUUUUCCAGUGCAUAUCAAUUAACUAUUUACUUAUCAAACCAAGUGGAGAAAGUAAGCUUCUGCCUAACAACUUAAUGUUGGUAAAAGAAAACCAAUGGUUGCAAACUCAUGCAAAUGAAAAUUUAAAAACUUAAAAUACUACUGAUAUGAAAGGACUAGUCUUAGAUCAAUAAUGUAGUGUUUUUUUAAAAAUUUACACCAGAAAUGCCCUUACACUUUACAGUUACACCCAAAUCCUUCAAUUCCUGUUUUAGUUUCACUGUUUUAACAUGUCAAUCACUGUUAUUACUAAAGGUAAAUGAUAAUCAAAAAAAAAUUCCAACAUUAUAUAAAGUGUCACACAGCAAACAUUUGACAUGCAAGGGCAUGAUCCAAAAUCAGAGUUUAAGUGAGCAUUCCAAGGAACCGCAAAACACCGCUGGAAUGUUAGUAAAAGCAGUAAUGGACACAUGCUAUCGAAAGCUAGCACUGUAAAGUCACAUACAGUUAAUCCAGAUUAAAUUCAGAACAAAAUGAUAAACUUCAUUCAAAGACACACUAUUCUUAUUAGUAGGGCCACAUUCUAAAAAAGGAAGAAUGUCUAUUAUGUAUUUUUGAAGAGCAAAAUUUGAAGAAUAAAAUGGGUUGCACAGUAUAAUGCUCACUUUGUUUCAGCUAAAUAAUAACAGUAAAUUAUUAUAAUUGGCCUCAUUUACCUAGCACCUCUGUCAUAGUUAAAAUACUGAGGCACUUAAAUUUUAAACAUGCUUUAGAUUGCUUUAUUUACAGAAAUCCCAAUAAGCCUUUUCUGCAUGGAAAUUGAGUUUUUUUCUUCUUUGAAAUACUGAAGUUAUACAAGGAACUGAAGAAAGUGGCCACCCAGAUCAAACAGAGGGACUGCGAGUUUAUUUGGGCCUUAACCAACCAUUCUGCUGGGUUUACGGUCAUUUCUGCUAAGCUAAAAGUGACUUUGGAUUGGACCAGAUUGUAAUCGGGGAAACUUGUUCAGAUAACAAUGAAUGAAGUACAAUACAGCCAAUAUCAUUUAGUAUAGUGGCUUCUUUGGAUAAAGUGGGCACUCUGAUCAGAGUGGAAGAAUUCUAACAUUUUUUUCUUCAUACUGGCAACAAAGAAUGAGAUAUGAGAGAGGUUAAAUAUCCCUUUGGGAAUGGUUUCACCACUCAAUAAAUGUAUUAAAACAAUGCAACCUUCAGUUUCCACUAAAACCACUUGGAAACUACCAAUCUGAACACUAAAACCAUUCCCUCAUAGGCAUAAAUGGUCUAUCCAUUUCUCAGUGUUUUCUGGUUGCAUUAGCAUUACUUGUGUCUCUUUGCUAGAUGGUGCUGAUGGCUGACUGGUGGCUCCUGGAGGUCACUGCCAUGUGCCGCAGUGGGCACAUGAUCACAUUCUGAACCUUUGCCCCAAAGCACAGAAUAUGCCGGAGGUCAGAUGCAGGCACACUGAGGGAGUGCAGGCACCCCCUAUCUGGUUCCUCAACUUUAUGCCAGCCAUAACAGGUACAUCUAGCACAGCCCUACACAGUGGAGAGAGAGAACAACUUUCACUGAAUACGUUGCACAACUAACCCUCACAGUAUAGCGGCCAUUUAUCCUUCAACAUGCAAUCUUUGGAAGUUGGGAAGAAACCAGAGAAUCUGUAAGAAAUCCACAAGGUGAACAUGUAGACCCCACACAGACAGCACAGGAGGGUCCUUUUGAAGACCCUGACCUGGAGUUGCAUGCAGGCGUCAGUUCUUUGUGGGAAUGGGACCCGUUCUCGGGAUUCCACAACUGGCCCCUUUUUGACAGGCCAAGGGUCUGGCCUGAGAAUCUCAAUUGUGUACGGAAGCCUAAGAUCUCGGGGCUCUGGAGACGGGUGGAUCGAGGGUUGGUGUCACGGCAGGAAACUCGUGUGUCGUCGGGGAGGCCGGAAAAUCUUUCGCUGUGGGCCCGAAGACCCGAGUUCUUUGUGAUCUUCGAACACAGAGCUCGAAAAAAAGCGAUGAAACAGACUUUUAAGAUCGUAAACCAGCGGGUUGUUGUUAUUUCUCCUGCUCGCUGUGAAAAUGGGGGACACCUCCCUCUCACUCGCCAGGGUGAGACAGAACCUGUGAUUUGUCGAAUUUCGGAUGAAACACGAAGCUUUUGGGGUAACUUUGGUCUGUGUCUUUGCUAUUACUUAGCACACGCUUGGGCUCGG